rnacentral:rRNA from 1 species
CCUACGGGAGGCAGCAGUGAGGAAUAUUGGUCAAUGGGAGAGAUCCUGAACCAGCCAAGCCGCGUGAGGGAAGACGGCCCUAUGGGUUGUAAACCUCUUUUGUCGGAGAACAAAACCCGGGACGUGUCCCGGACUGCGUGUAUCCGAAGAAAAAGCAUCGGCAAACUCCGUGCCAGCAGCCGCGGUAAUACGGAGGAUGCGAGCGUUUUCCGGAUUUAUUGGGGUUAAAGGGUGCGUAGGCGGGCCGUUAAGUCAGCGGGAAAAUUGCGGGGCUCAACCCCGUCGAGCCGUUGAAACUGGCAGACUUGAGUUGGCGAGAAGUACGCGGAAUGCGCGGUGUAGCGGUGAAAUGCAUAGAUAUCGCGCAGAACUCCGAUUGCGAAGGCAGCGUACCGGCGCCAGACUGACGCUGAGGCACGAAAGCGUGGGGAUCGAACAGGAUUAGAUACCCUGGUAGUC